AUACUUCAGCAGUAUGUACACUAAAAUUAGAAUCAUAUGGAGGAGAUUGGAAUGGCUCCUGGGCAAGAAUGACACAAAUUCAUGAUGCAUUGUAUACCUUU
ensembl:snRNA Rnu6-1277 RNA, U6 small nuclear 1277